AUGCUCGGGAGGAGAAACAAUGGGUCGCCGACGACGUCGAAGGCCCGAGCAGACGGCGCGGGCCUCGCCGGCGCCAGCACCGUCGUCGCCGACGGCGGGCAGGCGGAGGUGGCCGCGUCGCAGUUCGUCGUGCAGCUAGAUGAGGCGGCCCGGGAGAGGCUGGAGCGCAUGAACCGGAGGCUGAGGCUGCUGGAGCAGCAGAUGGAGAUGCUGGAGGCGGAGGUCGGGAGGGCCAGCAGCACCGCCGACGACUAG
rnacentral:rRNA from 1 species